CCAUGUUUGUAACUAACAUUAUCUUUCUAGAAAUGAAAUACCCCGCCGCACCGCGGCGGGUCAACCACUAGUUAUUAUAUAUAUACAAUUGAGGUAUGUUCUUAAGAACAGUUCAGGUUUCAAAGGUUUCCUUCACCUACACCUGCCAGUCAUUCCGUCUUCUCUCACUUUAUCCCCUUCUCUCUAUGCCUCUCUGGGUUAAACGAGGAAGAUGAAGAAGACAGCGGCGAAGCCAUCGCUCCCACCAUCGCACUAAAUCGGAAGCCCUAAAUCUCGAACAAGAAAUUAACCGAAAGAAAUUAGAAGAUGACUCUUUCAACAUCCAAUGGAAAAUCGUAUAUGGUUAAUCACUGAUCUACAGUUGCAGGUAAGUGAAUCAACGAUCAUCGUGAUGAUGAUUACGAGGUGUUUGAUCCAGUGGGUAUUUGUGGAUCUAUACAUGCCUAAUUAGGUCAUGAGAUUUAAAUCAAUUUAGUGACGGUAAUCUUAUAUGUUUGUUAAUCGUUUCCACUAAAUUGACUAAAUAAUCGGUACGUUUUUGGACUAGACGCCUGUAUAUAGCUUACAUUGAUUACUAGGUUGGAAUGUAAAUUGAUUUAAUAAUGAUUUCUUGUGGUUUGUAGACGUUUUUUAACGUGAUUUUACAUAGAGAAAGUGAAAGGUAGUUUCUUAUGCAAACAUAUUAAUCCUUCUAGCUAUUACAUACUAUUAGUUUUUAUAUGUAGAUAUUUAUCGUUUUACCCAGUUUGUAAAUGUAGAUUAAGGAAAACACCAACAACAGCAAAAACAAUCCUGUAAGAGAUAACAUAUGCUGGGACAGUUCACUUAAAGAGGUUGGUGUGGAUGAAAGACCGCUGAAGGCGGGGACCAAAUUCAGUAGCUUUGGAAAGUGUUGAAACACGAAAAGAGCCCGGUAGUAGUUGAAUUGGAACAUGAAAAUCGACGAUUAGUGUUUGGGGUACUCUAUUGGUGUCAAACGAUGGGGAAAAGGAACAGAUUGACGAUGCACAAAUGUUUGAAAAGGAAGGUGAAGCCGCAGGGGGAGAGAGGCGCGGCGGUCAUUCGCAACACCGUAGCUGCAGUCGGAGACAUGGAAGUAGCCCAGCUCUAGCACCGACGAUAAAAUGCCUGAAUAAUCUAAAACGAAACCCAGCUUUAUGAUUGACAUAUUGUUUUCUACAGGCCAAUGCACGUUUGGGAUGUUUUGUAGUUGCGGCUGGGCCUGAUUUUCAACAUAAGCAUUGUCACGCUGAAGAGAAAAAGAGAUUGAAUGAGGAUUUGAUGCAGGGGGUGGUUGUUAGUUUCGCCAUUGACCCUCGACGGCGGUAGGAAGAGGUGACGAGACUAAAAUUAGGAGUAGCAGAAGGCAGAUGAGGGUCCGAUGAUCCAGAUUCUCUUACCUGAGCUCUCCCUUUUCUAGAAAUAUACCACCCGACCUCCGAACCGAUAGCUCUGGGGCAUAAUUGAUAUCGAGGAUAAUUUGAUUUGGAGACUGAUCCUUACUAGAAAACUAUGAACUUGCAGAACAUGGAGGAAGUUUUUAGGUUUUCUUCACGAGAACAUGAGAAUUAAUUGUUAGGUUUGAUAAAUACAGAUUGGAAGUGGAAAACGUACAAAUUGUGUGGUUGACAAACCGCCACGCCUGAAGAUCAAUCGACCGGUGGUAAUCAAGAGUUGCUCAUAAAUCUCUUUACUAAUGUCAAUAUUAUGAUGAUAAAUGAAAAUACUGAAAUGGAGAUCAAAAAAUGUUACUGGAAUUCCUGAAAGAACGCGAGAAACACAUGAAUAAGCCAAUAGCGAAACACCAACUAAGUGAGACAACUACUGCUACAGUAAUGAGCACAAGCUCAAACACCAAGGAUGAGUGGAGGUUUGCACCCUAGCUUAUGAAGAAGUAAGUACCACAAGUAGUCGUGAUCAAGCACAAAGAAAGCUUUAAUUAUAUUGACGGGUUGUCUCCUGAAACAAGUGGAAUGCUGCUUCUUUUUUCCAAAAAAAAAAAACAUGCUGAUAUAGAAGAAGGUUUUGUUGCGUAUGACAAAGAAACAAACAAAUCACGGGCAAGAAGAAUCUGGUGGCAAGUAUGUGUAUGGCUACAACUACCUAUCCCGGCUCAGUUCGAGACUAAAUGGGCUACUACAACACAUAGAACAAAAACAUCUGAGCAAGGCCAGGAAGAAAGCAACUGGAGCCGAAAUGUGCACACUGUGGUAGAUAUGGAACAGCCGCAUUGAAAAGAUAUUCGAAGGAGGCGCAAACUCUAACAAAAAUGAACAGCCACAAUGAAAAGAUAUUCGAAGGAGGCUUAAACUCUCAACAAAAAUUGACGGAGGCCAUAAAAGAAACAUCAAAGUGGAAUGCAA